rnacentral:rRNA from 1 species
UACGUAGGGUGCGAGCGUUGCCCGGAUUUAUUGGGCGUAAAGGGCGCGUAGGCGGCCCUGUAAGUCCGUUGUGAAAGUCAAAGGCUCAACCUUUGAAAGCCGAUGGAUACUGCAGGGCUAGAGUCCGGAAGAGGCGAGUGGAAUUCCUGGUGUAGCGGUGGAAUGCGCAGAUAUCAGGAGGAACACCAAUGGCGAAGGGCAG